UGCUGGGAGACAGUGUCAGGCGGGCAGUUUGACUGGGGCGGUCGCCUCCUAAAGAGUAACGGAGGCGCUCAAAGGUUCCCUCAGAAUGGUUGGAAAUCAUUCAUAGAGUGUAAAGGCAUAAGGGAGCUUGACUGCGAGACCUACAAGUCGAGCAGGGUCGAAAGACGGACUUAGUGAUCCGGUGGUUCCGCAUGGAAGGGCCAUCGCUCAACGGAUAAAAGCUACCCCGGGGAUAACAGGCUUAUCUCCCCCAAGAGUUCACAUCGACGGGGAGGUUUGGCACCUCGAUGUCGGCUCAUCGCAUCCUGGGGCUGUAGUCGGUCCCAAGGGUUGGGCUGUUCGCCCAUUAAAGCGGUACGCGAGCUGGGUUCAGAACGUCGUGAGACAGUUCGGUCCCUAUCCGUCGUGGGCGUAGGAAAUUUGAGAGGAGCUGUCCUUAGUACGAGAGGACCGGGAUGGACAUACCUCUGGUGUACCAGUUGUCGUGCCAACGGCAUAGCUGGGUAGCUAUGUAUGGACGGGAUAAGUGCUGAAAGCAUCUAAGCAUGAAGCCCCCCUCGAGAUGAGAUUUCCCAACUUCGGUUAUAAG
rnacentral:rRNA from 1 species